UCAGCCCUUAUAAAUGCUUCAAUGAAUUCAAGCAGAUUAUCUCCCUCCGUUUCAACACGGAUAUUAUUUCUACGUAGACAUGCUUCUUUCAGCCCAUGGAGCUGAGUGCAGGUAUUGUGUUCUGUGUGAGUGUUAUUCCCUCUUCCUCCACCAGGGUGCGGCAGGCAGGUGCUGCCCCACAGCUCUCAGCUGCCCUGCAUUUGGAGCAAUCAGCAUCAGGAUACUGAAGCGGCUGGGACUCUGAAGGAGUCGUGGGAUCGUAGACCUUGCUGUGUGUUAAUCAGACCGAACCAACCCUGCUUCUGUGUUUCCCUGCCUGCAUCUAACCCAGCUCUGUACUCCCUCACAGUUGCUGUCAGCAGUCCUGCUUUGAAUAACCCUCUGUGGUUCUGGUUGUUCUUCCUGUUUGGUGUCAGCAAACCCGUCCCUGGAUAAACCACUGUGAGUAGCCUUCUGUUCAUGGUGAAUACUUCAUUAAAUUCACUCCCAAGGACCGCUGUGGAUCCUUCAGAUCAAGUUCAAGACUCGCUCCCCGCUUCUCUCUCUGCGUGUCCAACCUCCAACGUUGCACACCUUCUGGAGGAAUCCACCCACAUGACACGCUUGCCGGCCAACCUCAGCCUCUGUGGCUUGCUCAUCUCCCCAGACUCCCCACCUUCUUCCACAAUGAGCCGUUUCCGUAAGCCGGCCGGCUAUGGAGUCCUGACGCUGCCCAGAAAACAUCCUUUCAAUAAACCUGUUUAAACCUU